rnacentral:rRNA from 1 species
UACGUAGGGUGCAAGCGUUGUCCGGAAUUAUUGGGCGUAAAGAGCUCGUAGGCGGUCUGUCGCGUCUGCUGUGAAACUCAGGGCUUAACCCUGAGCUUGCAGUGGGUACGGGCAGACUAGAGUGCGGUAGGGGAGACUGGAAUUCCUGGUGUAGCGGUGAAAUGCGCAGAUAUCAGGAGGAACACCGGUGGCGAAGGCGGGUCUCUGGGCCGUAACUGGACGCUGGAGGAGCGAAAGC